CGUCUGCUCGGUUACAAAUGGCCCCUCCCGCCCCGCUCGCCCGCUCGCUCGAGCUCGGCGCAGACCCGCCCGGGACCGCUCCUCGCAGCAGAUGCCUGGGUCCCACCGCCCUACCCGGUCACCGGCGAUCCGGCCACCUCGGAGGGCACGCUCAGACACCCAGAGGUCCGGCCACCUCAGUGGGUGCACCGGGCACCCUGUGAAGCGACCACACUGCGAGGCGCGCUGGCCACUCGGGUGGGCGUGCUAGGUUUCUGCGGCGGAAGUGUGGACCACAGAGUGUGACUCCCCUUCUAGCAGUAGGUGUUCUGACUCGUCCAGCUGCUGCCCCUCUGCCCGAGAGUAGUUCAAACUGAAGGGAAGAAAACAUAUGUGCAUGGUCUGCCAUCUUGAACCAGAAGUCUGAAGAGGGUUCUGAAUGCUGCACACGAGGAUCUCAGAGUGAGGGUGACAGACCCCAAGAGCAUCUGCACCAUAAACAUUUCCACAAGAAAUAAUGAAGAAUGUGGCUGUUCCAGGGCGACACUGGAGAGGCUGUGCUGUACCCACAGCAGGCACCCUUGAGUCAUCAACUAUCUACUGUCGCCAGCGCCUCCCAGCAGCAGCUCAGGUACUGCAGAGUCGACCCCUCCUCCAUCGGCCACUCCAGAGACCUCUGGCAUGGUGUAGUGGGACAGCUGGUGUUGUGAAUCAGGCCGUUGCCAAUCAGAGAACGGCUACUUCACAACACCAGGGUCACACUGCACUGCAGGCAUCGAGCAUCCGGACACUUGAGCACCUGGACACAGCCUGUAAGACAACCUCCCCACUCCCGGGUCAUUCCAGGGCUCCUCCAGCUGGCUCCGGCCCCACGUGGUGACUCUCCAACUCCUGCUCAGAAGGGGCCGCGGAAGCUGCUGUUUAUUGCAACACAAAUAGCUCAACUUCAGAAGAGCACACCACUCCAGGCAGCAUUAGCUUCCCACAAAGGCAGCUGCGCAGACAGGUCUCCCAGGCCCUUAGAAAGGCUGAGCACUCUCAACUGAAUGUCUCCUCAGAGAGGCUGGAAGCACGUGGAGACAAUAGAACCAGGUCCUUUUUGUCCUUUUUUGUUUUCUUUCUUUUUUAUUUUUCUGUUACUCCUUUUUUAAAAAUUGUGUAUGUGUAGGUGUGA